rnacentral:rRNA from 1 species
UACAGAGGGUGCAAGCGUUGUUCGGAAUUAUUGGGCGUAAAGCGCGUGUAGGCGGCCUUGCAAGUCGGGUGUGAAAGCCCUCAGCUCAACUGAGGAAGCGCGCCCGAAACUGCAGAGCUUGAGUACCGGAGAGGAUGGCGGAAUUCCCCAAGUAGAGGUGAAAUUCGUAGAUAUGGGGAGGAACACCGGUGGCGAAGGCGGCCAUCUGGACGGAUACUGACGCUGAGACGCAAAAGCGUGGGGAGCAAACAGG